UACGAGGGGGGCAAGCGUUGUUCGGAAUUAUUGGGCGUAAAGGGUGCGUAGGCGGUUUGGUAAGUCUGAUGUGAAAUCUAUGGGCUCAACUCAUAGUCUGCAUCGGAAACUGCCGGGCUUGAGUAUGGGAGAGGUGAGUGGAAUUCCUGGUGUAGCGGUGAAAUGCGUAGAUAUCAGGAGGAACACCUGUGGCGAAAGCGGCUCACUGGACCAUAACUGACGCUGGAUGCACGAAAGCUAGGGGAGCAAACAGG
rnacentral:rRNA from 1 species